GACUACAUAUCAAACUUAAACUGAAGAGUUUGAUCAUGGCUCAGAUUGAACGCUGGCGGCAGGCCUAAUACAUGCAAGUCGAGCGGAAACGAUGGAGCUUGCUCCAGGCGUCGAGCGGCGGACGGGUGAGUAACGCGUAGGAAUCUGCCCAGUAGAGGGGGAUAGCCCGGGGAAACUCGGA
rnacentral:rRNA from 1 species